CCCCGGGAAGGGGCCAGCAUCUCCUGGUGAUCCUGCGCUUCGCACCUUCCACUCUCCCCUCGCUCAGCAGGGCACUGCCUGCCUAAGGUCUAUCUAAUUAGUGUACAAUAAAUUGAAAUACUGCGAUUAAGGAUGUAUGAGAGGAUACUACGCCUGGAUGCAGUUUCACUGUGCUUAGAAGCAGGGGGACUGCGCAUCUGGUCCCCCACCAUGUGCCUGGGCUACUUCCUUGAGCAGCUCCAACCUGUCAGAAAGUGUGAAAAUGUCUUCUGCUCACAUCUGAGAAAAAGAUGCACAGCUGAAUCAAGGAAUGGCUGCGAAAGAGGCCUAGAUUUGCAAAUGUACUCAGGCAUCUCCCACCACUGAUACUGUUAAACUGGACUGAAAGCCUGGAUCCCACAGAUCUGAACUUGCAACGUGGGAUGAAAGCAUAAUGAAGAUCAUAAAGAUCAUAGUGAAGAUCGUUAAGAUCAUAAUGAAGAGCAUAAAGAUCAGUGAAUUACUGUGAAGGCUGUUUAGUUAACUUAUGCUUUAGCACAGCUGCCUUUCUAAGACUAGAUGCUAUUUUACAUUAGCACCUGUUCCUGUACAACUACUCCAAAAGAAGAAGACUGGGUUAAAAAAAAUAAAUAGUUUUGCUGUUAAAAGGCA
rnacentral:lncRNA from 1 species